AGUCCAUGAUUUGGGCAAUUUUUGACCAAUCCCUUAAAACGCUCCCAUGCGGUGCUUAAGGUCUCAACUUCUUCUUGUUCAAAGUUCAUAAUCUCUCAACACCUCCU